rnacentral:rRNA from 1 species
GACGAACGCUGGCGGCGUGCCUAAUACAUGCAAGUAGAACGCUGAAGGAGGAGCUUGCUCUUCUGGAUGAGUUGCGAACGGGUGAGUAACGCGUAGGUAACCUGCCUGGUAGCGGGGGAUAACUAUUGGAAACGAUAGCUAAUACCGCAUAAGAGUAGAUGUUGCAUGACAUUUGCUUAAAAGGUGCAAUUGCAUCACUACCAGAUGGACCUGUGUUGUAUUAGCUAGUUGGUGGGGUAACGGCUCACCAAGGCGACGAUACAUAGCCGACCUGAGAGGGUGAUCGGCCACACUGGGACUGAGACACGGCCCAGACGCCUACGGGAGGCAGCAGUAGGGAAUCUUCGGCAAUGGACGGAAGUCUGACCGAGCAACGCCGCGUGAGUGAAGAAGGUUUUCGGAUCGUAAAGCUCUGUUGUAAGAGAAGAACGAGUGUGAGAGUGGAAAGUUCACACUGUGACGGUAUCUUACCAGAAAGGGACGGCUAACUACGUG